AGUAAUCUGGAGCGAACCCCAAAAAUAACGUCUCAGUUCGGACUGUGGUCUGCAACCCGACCACACGAAGCUGGAAUCGCUAGUAAUCGUGAAUCAGAAUGUCACGGUGAAUACGUUCCCGGGUCUUGUACACACCGCCCGUCACACCAUGGGAGUCAGCAACGCCCGAAGUCAGUGACCUAACCGAGAGGGAGGAGCUGCCGAAGGCGGGGCCGGUAACUGGGGUGAAGUCGUAACAAGGUAAC
rnacentral:rRNA from 1 species